GACGAACGCUGGCGGCGUGCCUAAUACAUGCAAGUAGGACGCAGUUGCGAACGGGUGAGUAACGCAUAGGUAACUACCUAUUAGAGGGGGAUCACUAUUGGAAACGAUAACUAAUACCGCAUACUAGUCGAUGGACCUGCGUUGUAUUAGGUAGGAGGUAGGGUAAUGGCCUAACUAGGCAACUAUACAUAGCCGACCUGAGAGUGUGAUCGGCAACACUGGGACUUAGACACGGACCAGACGCGGAAGGGAGGCAGCAGUAGGGAAUCUGCCGCAAUGGGGGCAAGCCGGACGGAGCAAUGCAGCGUGAGUGAAGAAGGUUUGCGGAUCGUAAAGCUCUGUUGGAAGAGAAGCGGUAUAUUACCAGAAAGCCACGGCUAACUACGUGCCAGCAGCCGCGGUAAUAC
rnacentral:rRNA from 1 species